UGGGGAAUCUUGCACAAUGGAGGAAACUCUGAUGCAGCGACGCCGCGUGAGCGAUGAAGCCCUUCGGGGUGUAAAGCUCUUUCGACGGGAACGAUAAUGACGGUACCCGAAGAAGAAGCUGCGGCUAACUACGUGCCAGCAGCCGCGGUAAUACGUAGGCAGCGAGCGUUGUUCGGAAUUACUGGGCGUAAAGAGUGUGUAGGCGGUGUUCUAAGUCUGGUGUGAAAUCUCCCGGCUCAACUGGGAGGGUGCGCCGGAAACUGGAAUGCUAGAGUGUGGGAGAGGUAAGCGGAAUUCCUGGUGUAGCGGUGAAAUGCGUAGAUAUCAGGAGGAACACCUGUGGUGUAGACAGCUUACUGGACCACGACUGACGCUGAGACACGAAAGCGUGGGUAGCAAACAGGAUUAGAUACCCCCGUAGUCC
rnacentral:rRNA from 1 species